UACAGAGGGUGCAAGCGUUAAUCGGAUUUACUGGGCGUAAAGGGCACGUAGGCGGUGAAAUGGGUGUGAUGUGAAAGCCCCAGGCUCAACCUGGGAAGUGCAUCGCAAACUAUUUGACUGGAGUAUAAGAGAGGGUGGCGGAAUUUCCGGUGUAGCGGUGAAAUGCGUAGAGAUCGGAAGGAACGUCAAUGGCGAAGGCAGCCACCUGGCUUAAUACUGACGCUGAGGUGCGAAAGCGUGGGGAGCGAACAGG
rnacentral:rRNA from 1 species